rnacentral:tRNA from 1 species
GCGCUCGUAGCUCAAUUGGAUAGAGCAUCUGACUACGGAUCAGAAGGUUUGGGGUUCGAAUCCCUACGAGCGCGCCA